rnacentral:rRNA from 1 species
GGCCAAGUUUUUAAGGGCGCACGGUGGAUGCCUUGGCACCAGGAACCGAUGAAGGACGUGGGAGGCCGCGAUAGGCCCCGGGGAGCUGUCAACCGAGCUGUGAUCCGGGGGUGUCCGAAUGGGGAAACCCGGCAGUCGUCAUGGGCUGUCACCCGCUGCUGAACACAUAGGCAGUGUGGAGGGAACGAGGGGAAGUGAAACAUCUCAGUACCCUCAGGAAGAGAAAACAACCGUGAUUCCGGGAGUAGUGGCGAGCGAAACUGGAUGAGGCCAAACCGUAUGUGUGUGAGACCCGGCAGGGGUUGCGCAUGCGGGGUUGUGGGAUUUCUCUUUCAUCGUCUGCCGGCGAUGAGACGAGUGAGAAACCGUUGAUGUAGGCGAAGGGCAUGCGAAAGGCCCGGCGUAGAGGGUAAGACCCCCGUAGCUGAAACAUUAGCGGCUCGUUUGAGUUAUUCCCAAGUAGCACGGGGCCCGAGAAAUCCCGUGUGAAUCUGGCGGGACCACCCGCUAAGCCUAAAUAUUCCCUGGUGACCGAUAGCGGAUAGUACCGUGAGGGAAUGGUGAAAAGUACCGCGGGAGCGGAGUGAAAUAGUACCUGAAACCGUGUGCCUACAAGCCGUGGGAGCGUCGGACGUGCCCUUUGGGGUGCGUCUCGUGACUGCGUGCCUUUUGAAGAAUGAGCCUGCGAGUUAGCGGUGUGUAGCGAGGUUAACCCGUGUGGGGAAGCCGUAGCGAAAGCGAGUCCGAAGAGGGCGUUUGAGUUGCACGCUCUAGNNNNNNNNNNNNNNNNNNNNNNNNNNNNNNNNNNNNNNNNNNNNNNNNNNNNNNNNNNNNNNNNNNNNNNNNNNNNNNNNNNNNNNNNNNNNNNNNNNNNGCGUCUCGUGACUGCGUGCCUUUUGAAGAAUGAGCCUGCGAGUUAGCGGUGUGUAGCGAGGUUAACCCGUGUGGGGAAGCCGUAGCGAAAGCGAGUCCGAAGAGGGCGUUUGAGUUGCACGCUCUAGACCCGAAGCGGAGUGAUCUAGCCAUGGGCAGGUUGAAGCGGAGGUAAGACUUCGUGGAGGACCGAACCCACCAGGGUUGAAAACCUGGGGGAUGACCUGUGGUUAGGGGUGAAAGGCCAAUCAAACUCCGUGAUAGCUGGUUCUCCCCGAAAUGCAUUUAGGUGCAGCGUCGUGUGUUUCUUGCCGGAGGUAGAGCACUGGAUAGGCGAUGGGCCCUACCGGGUUACUGACCUUAGCCAAACUCCGAAUGCCGGUAAGUGAGAGCGCGGCAGUGAGACUGUGGGGGAUAAGCUCCAUGGUCGAGAGGGAAACAGCCCAGAGCAUCGACUAAGGCCCCUAAGCGUACGCUAAGUGGGAAAGGAUGUGGAGUCGCAGAGACAACCAGGAGGUUGGCUUAGAAGCAGCCACCCUUGAAAGAGUGCGUAAUAGCUCACUGGUCAAGUGAUUCCGCGCCGACAAUGUAGCGGGGCUCAAGCGUACCGCCGAAGUCGUGUCAUUGCGAUAUGUACCCCCAACGGGGAUCGUGAUGGGUAGGGGAGCGUCGUGUGCCGGGUGAAGCAGCCGUGGAAGCGAGUUGUGGACGGUUCACGAGUGAGAAUGCAGGCAUGAGUAGCGAUACACACGUGGGAAACGUGUGCGCCGAUUGACUAAGGGUUCCUGGGUCAAGCUGAUCUGCCCAGGGUAAGUCGGGACCUAAGGCGAGGCCGACAGGCGUAGUCGAUGGACAACCGGUUGAUAUUCCGGUACCCGCUUUGAAACGCCCAGUAUCGAGCCCAUUAAUGCUAAGGCCGUGAAGCCGCCGGCUGAGUCUUCGGACGAGGUCGGAGUGGUGGAGCCGCUGACCCGAGGUGGUAGUAGGUAAGCGAUGGGGUGACGCAGGAAGGUAGUCCAGCCCGGGCGGUGGUUGUCCCGGGGUAAGGGUGUAGGACGUCACGUAGGCAAAUCCGCGUGACACGUAGUCUGAGACCUGAUGCCGAGCCGAUUGUGGUGAAGUGGAUGAUCCUAUGCUGUCGAGAAAAGCCUCUAGCGAGUUUCAUGGCGGCCCGUACCCUAAACCGACUCAGGUGGUCAGGUAGAGAAUACCGAGGCGUUCGGGUGAACUAUGGUUAAGGAACUCGGCAAAAUGCCCCCGUAACUUCGGGAGAAGGGGGGCCACACCUGGUGAUCCGAUUUACUCGGUGAGCUGGGGGUGGCCGCAGAGACCAGCGAGAAGCGACUGUUUACUAAAAACACAGGUCCGUGCGAAGCCGUAAGGCGAUGUAUACGGACUGACGCCUGCCCGGUGCUGGAACGUUAAGGGGACCGGUUAGCUCCAUUUCGGUGGGGCGAAGCUGAGAACUUAAGCGCCAGUAAACGGCGGUGGUAACUAUAACCAUCCUAAGGUAGCGAAAUUCCUUGUCGGGUAAGUUCCGACCUGCACGAAUGGCGUAACGACUUCUCGACUGUCUCAACCAUAGGCCCGGUGAAAUUGCACUACGAGUAAAGAUGCUCGUUUCGCGCAGCAGGACGGAAAGACCCCGGGACCUUUACUACAGUUUGAUAUUGGUGUUCGGUUCGGCUUGUGUAGGAUAGGUGGGAGACUGUGAAGCUUGGACGCCAGUUCAGGUGGAGUCGUCGUUGAAAUACCACUCUGGUCGUGCUGGAUGUCUAACCUGGGUCCGUGAUCCGGAUCAGGGACAGUGUCUGAUGGGUAGUUUAACUGGGGCGGUUGCCUCCUAAAGGGUAACGGAGGCGCCCAAAGGUUCCCUCAGCCUGGUUGGCAAUCAGGUGUUGAGUGUAAGUGCACAAGGGAGCUUGACUGUGAGACCGACGGGUCGAGCAGGGACGAAAGUCGGGACUAGUGAUCCGGCGGUGGCUUGUGGAAGCGCCGUCGCUCAACGGAUAAAAGGUACCCCGGGGAUAACAGGCUGAUCUUCCCCAAGAGUCCAUAUCGACGGGAUGGUUUGGCACCUCGAUGUCGGCUCGUCGCAUCCUGGGGCUGGAGUCGGUCCCAAGGGUUGGGCUGUUCGCCCAUUAAAGCGGUACGCGAGCUGGGUUUAGAACGUCGUGAGACAGUUCGGUCCCUAUCCGCUGUGCGCGUAGGAGUCUUGAGAAGGGCUGUCCCUAGUACGAGAGGACCGGGACGGACGAACCUCUGGUGUGCCAGUUGUCCUGCCAAGGGCAUGGCUGGUUGGCUACGUUCGGGAGGGAUAACCGCUGAAAGCAUCUAAGCGGGAAGCCUGCUUCGAGAUGAGGACUCCCACCCACUUGAUGGGGUAAGGCUCCCAGUAGACGACUGGGUUGAUAGGCCGGAUAUGGAAGCCAGGUGACUGGUGGAGUUGACCGGUACUAAUAGGCCGAGGGCUUGUCCUC